rnacentral:lncRNA from 1 species
GCUAUUCUGAUGCUUGUAAGACAAGCAAAACAUUAUUGAACCUGAGUGAUCAACGGGAAAAGUAAAGACAGAGAUACUGCACAGCCUUAUUGUUGCUGACGGCACAAUAAAACUGUGAAAACUAUUACAAUGGAAUGCUGACUAUCCCACACCACUCUUCUUAUCAAAACUGGUAAGGAAGGGCACUUGCUGAUGGAUGUGUCUCAGGAACCUACAGAGCACCAGGUUUAUAAACAUUCAUGUAAAUGGAAAAUGCAUAAUUGGGCUAGGCAAAAUACUGAUACUAGCACUAAGUAGAAAUGAUACCAACAUUUAAAUGCUUCCUGGCUUGUAGAUCUGAUCUUCAAGUUGUGUUUUGAUGAGAGCUCAGAUGAUAGCAGAGAGCUGAAAACAGCUUCAUCAGCCUCAUUCUAAUCCCCCCUUGAGUUGGAUGACACUUGUGCCUAGCCAUUGGCUGAGAUGAAGAGGUGACUAGGAAAUUUAUUUGGGCUAAAAUCAAAACAACUGUAGAAGAGAAGAAUGGCAGCUGGACCAGCAAGCUGAGAACUCAC